rnacentral:lncRNA from 1 species
UGCAGACGAGAAGGUAAGAGGCAGGCAGGGUUGGGGAUUUUCACCGUGCCUAUUUAUUCAGUUUCUUCCGUUCCUAUCCUCCCACAUGACGGUUGAACACCAACAGGCGGAGAGCGCACACCGCUCCGAUGGAGAAAAACAUGUGAUUCAAAUCGUGUUGUACUAUGUUCUUAUCGUCUUAAUUGGUUGCUUUGUAUGAUAUGAUUGUGUUAGAUUAGUCUACGUUGGUUGCUAAAAUUUCUUGCAGUUUGUAUGUGCUUUUGUGGUCACUUACAUACAUAUGAUGGGUAUUUGCAGUCGUGUGUGGAGUGGACCCUUUUCUGGGUAUGCUGUGCAUCCCCAAGUAUUCGCCAAUUUAACAUUCACAUUCGAUGUUUGGUCGUGUGUAUAUGCAUUUCAGACGGUGGCAGUUUAAAAUUUUACUAGCAAGGCUUCAAAGAUUGUCAAAUUCUCAGAGUCUACUUGGAAGUUGACAAUACAUGCUAUGCCUCUGUUCAGGAUCUCUUUAUAUGUUUAUAUUUUGAGGUGAUUGGGGAUUGAACUGAACUUCUGCUUGCAGAUGGCAUGCAUAUGUUGAUGUACCAAAUAUCGAGGCAUUGCUAUAGCAGCCAUUGCUUUUGCCUAGCUGCGAUUCCAUCUAGCAUUGAGGUAUGUCUUUAAACUUAUCUUUUUUAGCUUUUGGUUUUCAAGUUACAUAGGAGUGAUUUGUUUUUUCUUUAGGGUUCUACCCAGCAACCGUCAGUGAUAUUGUUUGGGCUGCUUUUUAGCUCUUGCAAGCUCCUUUUGCUGUUAUGUGUUGCUGGAGUUUGGACUUGCAUAGAACUUCAAAGAAAACAAUUGGAAAACUAACCACUACAAUUAUAGUUACCGAUUGUAAUGGUAAAAUUAUCAAGAUUCACAACAUGAAAUCAAUAUUCUUAGAUGCAUCAUGAAAUUAAUUUCCAUAGCAUAUAGCUUUAGUAUUGUAGAUUUUGAUAUUUUUUCCUACAGAGUUAGUCAAAGUUCACAAAGUUUGACUUUGACCACAAUUUAUAUGCAGCCAAAAAGAAAUGGAGGGAGUAUUAAACAUGAUUUGAAUCCUUGGGCGUGCCUACAUAUGCUCUCUAUUUCAGAGUAUGAUGCUCUCAACAAUUGGAACAAUCAACAUGUAAAUCAGUCUAAGUAUAAUACCUCGUGAGCUGGGUCUCCAUUUUCAAUUGGCGGCUUUUCUUAAACAUUCAUACUUUUGGAAGGUUAGGAUAGCUUCCGAAGACACGAAGAGAAAUGCAAUGGGAACCAAUAUGGAUUUUUACUGUUUCUGGAAGGAUAUCUAAUUAAUUGCAUAUUUAUUAAGACCUGCCACUUUUUU